UACGAAGGGUGCAAACGUUGCUCGGAAUUAUUGGGCGUAAAGCGCACGUAGGCGGCAUUGCAGGUCGGAUGUGAAAUCUUAUGGCUUAACCAUAAAAGUGCAUCCGAAACUGCAGUGCUUGAGUACUUAAGAGGAUCGCGGAAUUCCCGGUGUAGAGGUGAAAUUCGCAGAUAUCGGGAGGAACACCAAUGGCGAAGGCAGCUCGCUGGGACGUGACUGACGCUGAGACGCGAAAGCGUGGGGAGCAAACAGG
rnacentral:rRNA from 1 species